rnacentral:rRNA from 1 species
AGUGAACGCUGGCGGUAGGCCUAACACAUGCAAGUCGAACGGCAGCACAGUAAGAGCUUGCUCUUACGGGUGGCGAGUGGCGGACGGGUGAGGAAUACAUCGGAAUCUACUUUUUCGUGGGGGAUAACGUAGGGAAACUUACGCUAAUACCGCAUACGACCUACGGGUGAAAGCAGGGGAUCUUCGGACCUUGCGCGAUUGAAUGAGCCGAUGUCGGAUUAGCUAGUUGGCGGGGUAAAGGCCCACCAAGGCGACGAUCCGUAGCUGGUCUGAGAGGAUGAUCAGCAACACUGGAACUGAGACACGGUCCAGACUCCGACGGGAGGCAGCAGUGGGGAAUAUUGGACAAUGGGCGCAAGCCUGAUCCAGCCAUACCGCGUGGGUGAAGAAGGCCUUCGGGUUGUAAAGCCCUUUUGUUGGGAAAGAAAAGCAGCAGGUUAAUACCCCGCUGUUCUGACGGUACCCAAAGAAUAAGCACCGGCUAACUUCGUG